rnacentral:misc_RNA from 1 species
AACGAAGAAAAAAAGGUAGAAACAUGAUGUUGUCAGCGUAAUCUCAUACAUAAAUACACAGCUUGGUUAUUGAGGGCGGCCAAAUAUAAGAUAGAUACAGAGACAAGCUCAUAAUCAAGGAUAGCUAGGCAGGGCCCCCCUCUUACCCACGCAUCCCCCUUCCUUCCUUUUCUUUCAAAGGGUGUUGCUCCCUUUUCUCGGCUGUAGUUUUUUUAAUCACUUUUAAUAUUUGAUA